rnacentral:lncRNA from 1 species
CCCUGAACUAUCUAUCUAUCUAUCUAUCUAUCUAUCUAUCUAUCUAUCUAUCUAUCUAUGUAUCUAUCUUCCAUCUAUCUACCCACCUACCCAAAACUCUUAAGUGGAAGGCAUGAAAGGAAGGAAAGAAGGCCGCCUUUGUUGUCAAAUCUGGAUGUCUUCAUUUGCCCCCUCCAUCUGCUCUCCACCUUUCUCUCCCCUGCCUUUGCAUCAACAGCCAUCCUUGCUCUCUGACUUGUCUGCUAAUCUGGGUAGUGGUAGGAAUGGAGGCAGGACACAAGAAGAUCAGGCCACACGAAGCUCUUUUUUUCCCCUGUGUUAUACACACUACAUAUGUGCACUUGAGGGACUUCCCUGUCAACUUUCUUAUGGAUAGCCUGUGAAAAUGAAGGCACAGAGAAGGCCAUUUCUCACCCACCACCGGUACCUAAUAGCAGUAAAGAAAAUAAAGCUCAAUUCUUGCAAAUGACAACCACAGAUAAUAGAUACUACCAAACCAGGAAUUUGAG